GGAGGAGGAGGAUGACGACACAAGAGAAGGAUAGAUCGAACCGCGUGCUUCAGAGAUAUUUUAUCAUAUUGAUCUUGAUGCAUGGCGACAAACUCAGCCUAAAGGAACUCAGCCGGCCCCGGAGGAUAUGACUGCAAUUUGGACACAGGCGGCUGGUGGCAUGAAUAAAGGAUUGGAGUACAGCCAUCCUCCAGGCGUCCACCAGCAGUAUUAUUAAAUGGAGCAUUAGUUUUUCAAGAAGACAUGGAAGCUAUGCGUCAAAAAUUGGAUCAAAUGUCGUUAGAAUUUCAAGCAAUUUGGGCUUUGAUCCAAAAUUGUUAAAAAGGAAAAGCAAGAAAGGAGUUGCAAUGGAGUCUGAUUUUGAGAAGGAGACUGAUUCUGAAUAGGCUAUUUUAAUGUUUUAGAGUUGAAAUUAGAGACAUGUUUAAUUUAUGUUAUUUGAUAGUUGGUUGUUUGAUUAGUUGGUUGAAUUGUUAUAAAUAUUAUUGUUCGUUUUAUAA